rnacentral:rRNA from 1 species
GAUGAACGCUGGCGGCGUGCCUAAUACAUGCAAGUCGAGCGAACAGACGAGGAGCUUUCUCCUCUGACGUUAGCGGCGGACGUGUGAGUAACACGUGGAUAACCUACCUAUAAGACUGGGAUAACUUCGGGAAACCGGAGCUAAUACCGGAUAAUAUAUUGAACCGCAUGGUUCAAUAGUGAAAGACGGUUUUGCUGUCACUGAUAGAUGGAUCCGCGCCGCAUUAGCUAGUUGGUAAGGUAACGGCUUACCAAGGCAACGAUGCGUAGCCGACCUGAGAGGGUGAUCGGCCACACUGGAACUGAGACACGGUCCAGACUCCUACGGGAGGCAGCAGUAGGGAAUCUUCCGCAAUGGGCGAAAGCUUGACGGAGCAACGCCGCGUGAGUGAUGAAGGUCUUCGGAUCGUAAAACUCUGUUAUUAGGGAAGAACAAAUGUGUAAGUAACUAUGCACGUCUUGACGGUACCUAAUCAGAAAGCCACGGCUAACUACGUG